rnacentral:rRNA from 1 species
UACGUAGGGUGCGAGCGUUAAUCGGAAUUACUGGGCGUAAAGCGUGCGCAGGCGGUUCGUUGUGUCGGCGGUGAAAGCCCCGGGCUCAACCUGGGAAUGGCCGUUGAAACUGGCGAACUGGAGUGUGGCAGAGGGGGGUGGAAUUCCGCGUGUAGCAGUGAAAUGCGUAGAUAUCGGAAGGAACAUCAGUGGCGAAAGCGACUUCCUGGACCAGUACCGACGUUCAGGCACGAAAGCGUGGGGAGCAAACAGG